UACGGAGGGGGUUAGCGUUGUUCGGAAUGACUGGGCGUAAAGCGCGCGUAGGCGGAUCAGGAAGUUGGGGGUGAAAUCCCGGGGCUCAACCCCGGAAUGGCCUUCAAAACUCCUGGUCUUGAGUUCGAGAGAGGUGAGUGGAAUUCCGAGUGUAGAGGUGAAAUUCGUAGAUAUUCGGAGGAACACCGAUGGCGAAGGCAGCCCCCUGGGCUGACACUGACGCUCAGGCACGAAAGCGUGGGGAGCAAACAGG
rnacentral:rRNA from 1 species